AUUGAACGCUGGCGGCAGGCUUAACACAUGCAAGUCGAGCGGAGAUGAGGUGCUUGCACCUUAUCUUAGCGGCGGACGGGUGAGUAAUGCUUAGGAAUCUGCCUAUUAGUGGGGGACAACAUUCCGAAAGGAAUGCUAAUACCGCAUACGUCCUACGGGAGAAAGCAGGGGAUCUUCGGACCUUGCGCUAAUAGAUGAGCCUAAGUCGGAUUAGCUAGUUGGUGGGGUAAAGGCCUACCAAGGCGACGAUCUGUAGCGGGUCUGAGAGGAGGGUCCGCCACACUGGGACUGAGACACGGCCCAGACUCCCACGGGAGGCAUCAGUGGGGAAUAUUGGACAAUGGGGGGAACCCUGAUCCAGCCAUGCCGCGUGUGUGAAGAAGGCCUUAUGGUUGUAAAGCACUUUAAGCGAGGAGGAGGCUACUGAGACUAAUACUCUUGGAUAGUGGACGUUACUCGCAGAAUAAGCACCGGCUAACUCUGUGCCAGCCGCCGCAGUAAAAC
rnacentral:rRNA from 1 species